GACGAACGCUGGCGGCGUGCCUAAUACAUGCCAGUUGAGCGAUGAAGCUUGGUGCUUGCACCAAUUUGAAGAGCAGCGAACGGGUGAGUAACGCGUGGGGAAUCUGCCUUUGAGCGGGGGACAACAUUUGGAAACGAAUGCUAAUACCGCAUAACAACUUUAAACAUAAGUUUUAAGUUUGAAAGAUGCAAUUGCAUCACUUAAAGAUGAUCCCGCGUUGUAUUAGCUAGUUGGUGAGGUAAAGGCUCACCAAGGCGAUGAUACAUAGCCGACCUGAGAGGGUGAUCGGCCACAUUGGGACUGAGACACGGCCCAAACUCCUACGGGAGGCAGCAGUAGGGAAUCUUCGGCAAUGGACGAAAGUCUGACCGAGCAACGCCGCGUGAGUGAAGAAGGUUUUCGGAUCGUAAAACUCUGUUGGUAGAGAAGAACGUUGGUGAGAGUGGAAAGCUCAUCAAGUGACGGUAACUACCCAGAAAGGGACGGCUAACUACGUG
rnacentral:rRNA from 1 species